GGAGGUUCCCAGGAUAGGGGUCUAAUCCGAGCCACAGCUGCUGGCCUAUACCACAGCCACAGCAACGCCAGAUCCAAGCUGUGCCUGUGACCUACACCACAGCUCACGGCAACACCAGAUCCUUUAACCCACAGAGUGAGGCCAGGGAUGGAACCUGCAACUUCAUGGUUCCUAGUUGGAUUUGUUUCCGCUGCACCACUAUGGGAACUCCCUUAAGCAUAAAUUUAAAUAGUUGAAAAGAAUAUAAUUUUCAGGGUAUUGACAUUUAAAAAUUUUUCCAUUACUCUACUCAAUGAAAUUUGAAUAACAAUUUUAUAACAUUAUCCUUUAAAGAUAUACAUGGACAAGCUUUUUUCUAAUAGGAGGAAAUUUUGUUAUCAUUCCUUUUUCUCCCCAAACUCAUAUUUCCACUCCAUUUUCCCCAGAUAAUUUUAUCCAAAUAUAUUUUAUGCUUGAAAGUCUUUUGCUGAUCAUCCUAUCAUACUUUUGUUUGUUGUGUUGUAAUUUGUAUUUCCUGUGAUCAUAGGUUCAAAAUAUUAGCAAAAACAUCCUUCUGGAUUUACUUAUCAUUAUUAUUAUACUCCAUUAUUAAAUAUAAACAUAGAACACUAUUAGAACUACCCACAUCUGCGGCAUAUGGAAGUUAGGGGCUAGGGACUGAACCUGUACCACAACAGUGACCCAAGCCACUACACUGACAAUGCUGGAUCCUUAACCAGCGGUGCCACAAGAGAACUCCUACAACUACAUCUUUUUAACCAACAAAAAAUUUAAAAAAUAGUUUGUAUAUUCGUGCAUUAAUUUCACCUGCUAGAAUGAGAAAGUGUUCAGUGUCAAAUUUCUUUUUAGGUCUUAUUUUUAGAGAUGUUAGUACUAAGAAGACUUGUUCACAGAAGAAUGAACACUGUCUCAUAGCAAUGUUAUGCAACUUUUUAAGAAUCUUUCCAAGUUAUUAUGUCAAAUAUUACACAGUGAUCUGAAAGCAAAAUUAUUUAAAAUUAUCACUAAAACUCAAUUCAAUCCUCCUUCAAUUUUUUUGAGAGCAAAGCAUUGGAAACCACCUGACCAAUAUAGACACUGGAGAAAUUCACUAUCUCAAUUUCUGGGAAACAUAUCAAAAAGUCUUUACCAGAAUUUUUUUUUUUUUUUUGUAUUUUCAGGGCUGCAUCUGCAGCACAUGGACGUUCUCAGGCUAGGGGUGGAAUCGGAGCUGCAGCUGCCCAACCCACUGGGGGUGUUACAUUAUAUAUAUAGUAUGUGCAUCAUACAGCCUUUGUACAAUCGCAACAGUUCUGAAUUCUGAGCAUAUCUGGACUUCAGGUUUUUGGUUCAGGGAUUGUAGACCUGUACCAGCUUUCUUUUUUGUUAGCUAUCUGUGUAGAGCUAUCUGAAAAAUAGAGGGAACAUAUGCCUCAAGGUCUUCUGCCUUUAUAGAUGACCAAAUCUAAUCACCAGCUGGCAUCAAGCUUGAGUCAAUAAAAAUACCUGAGCACCUGAGAUCUUGUUUGAGACAAGGAGAGAACAAAGUGAUAAGCCUGCCUCUUCAACAGCUUGGGAACAACUUCUGUCCUAUAUAAUAACUUUUUCAUCUCACUGAGCUCCUGGAGUUUGACCCAAUAAUAUUAGUAUUUUCUCCUCUUAAGGUGGGAUAUGGUUUUAAUAAAAGGACAGAAACCUUGAGUUAUCUCCAUUACAGUCCCAUUGCCAAGGGUUGCAAGCUCAAAUAUCUAUAUGGAUUCAGCAUACAAGUUAAAUGAGUAAAGACAACAGGGAGCUGUGGUAACAGUGGCAAUCUAUAGCGUACAUGCUUUGAACAAAGAAGGUAAUUGCUACUUAACUUCUGCAUAUUUUUGCCAUGCAGAUCUGAUAGUCGAAUAGUCUAACUUUCCAAGAGAAGUUAGAAAUUCAGAUUUUAAAAUGUGAAACUAUCAAAUUUUGAAACAAUAAAAAAGACAGUGCAGGAUAAACAGACACAUGGAGGGGUUCAUAUUCAGCUGUGACUCCUAUCCUAAUCUCAGCUGCUAGGUCCUGUGACAAGUGCUGGCCCUUAAAGGCCCUGAUUACUGUUACACUGGGGGCCCCCAAUGCACGACGACUCUCUGUAUUCACAACCUUGUGUAGACCCUUCCACCCCGACUCUGGGCUUGGCCAUAUGGCUUGUUUUGGCCAGUGACACACUAACAACUGUGGUGCAACCAGAGGCUUGAUAAGUAUUUGCUCAACGGGGUUUGUCCUCUUGGAAGUUAGUCACCAUGCAGAAGCCUGAACGGUAAAAAGUCAGGUAAAGAGAGAGGCCCUGGAGGAUGAGGAAGCUGUUUUGAUGAGCUCCCAGCUGACUGCAGUCUCAUGAGUAAUCUCGGCUUAUACUACGUGGGACCAGCUGAGUCCAGUUAACCCACACAAUUGCAAAGAAUAAGAAAGCACUGUUAUUUUAAACUUCUAAGUCUUAGAGGUAGUUUAUGAUGAUGCAAUAGGUAGCUGAAAUAGAGGUCAUUUAUUCCAAUCCCUUUAUUUAACUAAUGAAUGUCUCAAAGCCUAGAGAGGCAAAGGGGUCUGGUGAAAUUCAGACACCAUGUUAGGAAUAAUAGCUUUUUAAUUCUGUGUUCUUCCUAUUGCUUUUCUUUCAAUUCCCUAAGUAGAAAGCAUCGGAUAAGGGCCAUUAAACUUAAAACUGUAUUGAACAGAACUUACACUGUGUCCUGCAUGCAUACAAAUUACUGUAGCAAUUCGGUGCUUGGAAAUGGAAAGACUUAGAGGUCAUCUAGUCCCUUCCCUUUACAGGUGCAGAAAAUGCAAAACACUUGAGAAAGAGAACAGUAGCCUUUGACAUUUGGCAGCUGGCCUGAUACAAUCAAACAGGCAGUAAUGUUACUAGAUGAUAGCCUGGUCCUCUUAGCUAGGCCUCGUGUUUUCUUGUUGAACCUAAUUUCAUAGAACAUAAAUGUUAGACAAAGCCAUUCUAUGGCCAUGAUAGACCAAUACAAAAGCGAAACCACUCCUAAUUAAAUCUGAACACAGAUCAAACAGGGACAUUGUUCAAACCACAAAAAAUGACCAAAUAGCCCUUAUUCUGGUAAUGAGGGACUCCUGCUUCUCUACCAAUCAGGACUUCAGCCUCGUCUAGUAGUCCUUCCGUCUAGAUAACAUUUACUGAGAUGCCCAAUCAUAAAAUUACCUCCACUUUCUGACAGCAUCUUAUCCAGGGUAAAGUCCCACUUUCUUAAACCCUCAUCCAAAUCACCUGACAACUCCUCCUGAGAUGCCCCACAGUUCUUCAUGGUGUGUGUUCUCUCUCUCUGCAACCAGCAAUAAACCCAACCUGUUAAUUCUCAGCGGGCCUUUGUCGUCUUUGGUUUGAGGUUACUGACAGACCUGAUAAGGUUUAUACCGAGCUGGAGGCAGAAUUCACUGGGCAUCUCCAGCUGUGUUCCUUCUUAUGGUUAAUGUCUGUCUUCCCCCUACCAGAAUUACGCUGCGUGAGAAGAGAAGCCUUGUCUGUAGGGAUCAGAGCUGAUUCCCAGGGCCUAGGCUAGUGACGAGCAGAGGCUGGAAGUUUAAAAGAUACUUUCUAAACGAAUGAAUAAUAGGUUCUCUUUCACCUCUCAGUUCCUCCCAGUACGUGGUGCACAGAGACCACAAAACUCCUCUUUCUCAACUAAAUUUCCAAACCCCUCUUGGGACGCCACUCUUGGGACGCCCAUGCUCUCAGAGCCUCCUUCUCUGCCCGAGCUCUCUCGCUCGCUGGCCCCCCUCCGACACUUGAGCCCCAAGACCAUCCCUUCCUAGAACCCACCUGUCGCCAACACCUCACCCUGCCACAGAGGCCAGACCAACCGUGCCGUUACUUAGGUGUCGAGCGGGCACUGCAGGCACAGACCGCGCAUGUGCGGAAAUCGGUCGCGCACGCAGGAUCGCUGGCAAGUGAAGAGUUGCCUUGGAGUUUCCGUCC
ensembl:lncRNA